rnacentral:misc_RNA from 1 species
GAUUCAUAGAUAGGCUCUUGUCCAAGACCAUUUUAAAGGUUAAAGAAAUUAGGAAAUACUAAGAAAUGAAUCAAUUUGAUUUGGACGAUAACAAAUUGGAGAUAUUAAAUAAGGUUUGUACAAAAAUAAAGAAUAGAAAGAAUCUAUACAGAUUGUUUACGAUUGAAAAGAUAAGAAUAAUAAUUUUAAUGAUAAGGCGACUUAAUGAGCUGAUUCUUGAUUAUCUAUAAUUUUUCCACGCUGAAUAGAUAAUAGUUUUAUAAAUAUACAGUAUAGAUAUAUAACCCUCUCUCCCCACCUCUUUUUUUAUAUAUUGACAGUUUAAGGAUAGAAUUUCCGAUCUAGAACUUCCGUAUAAUGAGGAUUAUUACGUAAUAAAAUGGUUGAAAGGUAUAAAAAAUAAAACAGAUAAUAAUAAGAAAGCAUUUAGACUAUUAACAUUGAUUAUUAAGUUAAUAGAGUAAUUAUUUUUUCCAGCUAGAUGCUUCGAUAUUGAUAAAGCAGAGAAGAUGAUAAGAAAUGUAUGUUUCUUUUAAAAAUUAUCUAAUUUAUUCCAUUACUUUCCUCUUUUCUUCAUCUCGCUUUCUCUCUUUCUCUCUCUCUUCGUCGUAUAUGUUUUUUUCUCUCGCUUCCAUACCCCGCCCCUCCCUCCUCUUCCCUAAUAAUAUUUAUCUAUAAUAUUCUUAGAGUAUGGAAUAUCGGGCUCAGAACGAUAUGAUAAAUAUUGAUAAAUACGAUCCGCCCGAGGUAAAAAUGAUACGAUUCUGUUUUUCUUAAUAUCGUAAUUGAUCCAUAAGAUUGUUUAUUUGUUUCAUUUUUUUUGUCUUUAUCUAUUAAACAAUGACGACAACUAUGAUGAUGAUGAUGAUGUUGAUGGUUAUCGUUACUAUUAUGAUAAUAUUAAUAAUAAUAAUAAAAGGUGAUCAAACGAUACUCGGCAACUGGUCUCUUUCCAACAAGUAAAGAUGGAUACCCAUUUCAAUGGGAAUUAUUCGGAAGAUUAGAUAUGAAGGGUUUAAUGUACUCUUGUAAAAAGUCUGAUUUGGAAAUGAAUACAAUAUCUCAAGCAUACAAAAUGGAAAAAUAUUGCAGACAGCAAACUGUAAAGAUGAACAAACUAAUCGAUGGUAUUAUAGUAAUUUUCGAUAUGGAAAAAUGCGGUACGAGCCACCUUUGGCGUUCAGGUAUUCAAAUGUACAUGUACUUGGUACAGCUAUUGGAAGACAAUUAUCCGGAAAUGGUAAAAUAUCUCUACGUUAUCAAUGCACCGGCUUUUCUACCUAUACUAUACAGAAUUGCUAAACCUUUGUUAAGCGACGAUAUGAGAAAUAAGAUACAAUUUUUGGGAUCUGAUUUUCGGCAGAGACUCAUUGAUAAAAUAGGCGCCGAAUAUCUUCCACAGUGCCUUGGAGGAACUCUUACCGGCCCGAACGGAGAUGCAAGGUGUUGUCAUCUUGCCACUCAAGGAGGAAAAAUACCCGAGUCGUAUUACCUUAAGAAUGUCAACUUUCUAGAUCAUCUGGAAAAAGUUACCGUACCGAGAGCUGAUAAGCUGGUUAUCAAAUUUCAAGUGGAAGAAAAGGAUUCUAUACUUAAAUGGGAAUUUCAAACUAAUGAUAAGGAUAUCGGUUUCGGUAUUUCUUUUCGAGGUAACGAAAAGGAAAAGAAAAUUUUACCAAUAACGAGAAUUAAUAGUCAUAUUGUUCCCGAAUAUGGCUCAUUAGUAUGCGAAAAUCUGGGACUAUAUAAAGUCAUCUUUGAUAACUCGUUCAGUUGGACAAAAAGUAAGGUUUUAUUCUACAACAUCGAACUAUGCGUUAAAGGUGAACUAGAAGAUUUGCAAGAAGAUCUAAAGAAAAAUGAUUCCUAAAUAGAUCUUUGAUUUGUUUUAUAUAUAGUUUUUGUUUUUUCUACGUAGAUUUUAUAAUCGAUUUCUACAAUCAUAGAAUAUGGAAAAUAUAGAAAAAAUUAAGGAAAGAGAGAGAGAGAGAGAGAGAGAGAGAGAGAGUAAACGAAGGAAAAUAAGGAAGAAGAGAAAGAAAUUUUUAUUAAAUAAAUGUGUGAGAGAUUAGCUAUUUUAGCACGAACAACAAUAAAAACCCUAAUUAUAAAUAUUUCCAUUGUUCCCCACUAUAAAUGUCUAUAAAUGAACUGUUAUCGUUUCUUUUUUAAUUUCUACUUUAUCUAUUAGAAUAAAAAUGUAUAUGUUUGCUCUCUUCCGAUUGACAUAAUUUACUGAUUUUGUUAAAUUAUUAUAGAAUGUUUUCGUUCUUCUCACUCUUUGAAUACCAAUCUUCCUAGCCCUAAUCUACAGAUGAUCUUUAGAGGUAUACAAUUUUUUCCGAUAUACAGUGAUUCUCAUACUGCGUAUUGUUUCAUAGUACGCGUAGUAUAUCUCUUGUAUACCUGAGAUUGAAGGGAAGAACACGCUGUUUAUUAUAAUCAUCUAUUGAUUAAUCUCGAUGCACCAAGUCAACCUUUUGUCGAUAUUCUUCCAAGAAUGACAUUAUAUUUUACUAAUAUUUAUAUACCAGUUUAGUUAAAUAAUUUAAAAGAAAUUUUCAUUUAUAAUAUUUGAUAUACAUUUAAUUCAUUUUAUAGACGCAUUUUUCAUUAUAUUAAUUAAAUAGGAAAAAUAAGGUUUCUCAACAGCCUGAUAAAAGCUGACAUAAACGCCGCCCUCUUCAUCCUUGUUCACUCGGGCAUACAUGUACCAAGCGUAUAGUUACAAGACUUCCUGUAAAUUAGCUCCAAAUUGAUGCCAUCUCCAACUCUAUAGGCCGUUGAAAUUACGAAAGAUUGUUCUUAAAGGAGGGAACAUGAUGGAAAGAAAAGGGAUGAACAAAUCAAAAGAGACAGGGACGAGUAAAUAGAAAGAUAAAGAGGAGAAGAAAGUAAAAGAAAAGCAACUAUAAAAUAAUAGAAGAAAUAUGGGAAGAAAAAAGAAAAACCUCUUUCAGGGGAGAAGGAUAAAAAGAAAAGGCGGGAGUUGAAUUUCUGUUAAAUAUAGAUUUAAAAAAGAAACUAUGCACUUCUAAAUAUAAAAAAUGGAUUUUUUUCUUAAUAAAGUCAAUUCGGAUUUAUUAAAUAA